AUGAUCAUACUAAUUAGCAGUACCAUUGUUGUGAUCUUAGACAAUUAUUGAACGUAAUUUAAGAUGAAACUUCAUAGUGCAUGUAUAGUAAGUACCCGACACAAUACCCAUUUCAAGGGGUAAUUAAUAGGGGCUAUUUAUGCAGCAUUAUAAUGACCUGAUUUUUAAUUGAAGAUUCCAGACGCUAAUGUGAUCCCAUUUUUUCCUUUUUUUUUUUUGUCAAAACAUGCAGGAAAUACACCUACUUGGGUUACUUUCUUAAGAGAAAAGGCCGAAACUGCAAUUUCUAGUCAAACCUGCAGGGUGGUGCAUACGCUUUCUACGAUAUUUGGUACUUUAUUCUCAUUCCACAGGUUUGGCAGGUGUACUAAUUGGAUUACUACUCA